AUUGAACGCUGGCGGCAGGCCUAACACAUGCAAGUCGAGCGAGCGGCGGACGGGUGAGUAAUGCCUGGGAAUUGCCCAGUCGGGGGGGAUAACAGUUGGAAACGACUGCUAAUACCGCAUACGAUUGGAUUGCCCAGGUGGGGUUAGCUAGUUUGUGAGGGAAUGGGGCACCAAGGCUACGAUCCCUAGCUGGUCUGAGAGGAUGAUCAGCCACACUGGAACUGGUACACGGUCAAGACUCCUACGGGAGGCAGCAGUGGGGAAUAUUGGACAAUGGGGGAAACCCUGAUGCAGCCAUGCCGGGUGUGUGAAGAAGGCCUUCGGGUUGUAAAGCACUUUCAGCUAGGAGGCGGUACUCGCAGAAGAAGCACCGGCUAACUCCGUGCCAGCAGCCGCGGUAAUUC
rnacentral:rRNA from 1 species